rnacentral:rRNA from 1 species
UACAGAGACUGCAAGCGUUAUUCGGAUUCACUGGGCGUAAAGGGUGCGCAGGCGGCCGGGUGUGUCAGAUGUGAAAUCCCGAGGCUCAACCUCGGAACUGCGUCUGAAACUACUCGGCUAGAGUACUGGAGAGGGUAACGGAAUUCACGGUGUAGCAGUGAAAUGCGUAGAUAUCGUGAGGAACACCAGAGGCGAAGGCGGUUACCUGGACAGUUACUGACGCUGAGGAGCGAAAGCAUGGGGAGCGAACAGG